rnacentral:rRNA from 1 species
AUUGAACGCUGGCGGCAUGCCUUACACAUGCAAGUCGAACGGCAGCACGGGAGCAAUCCUGGUGGCGAGUGGCGAACGGGUGAGUAAUAUAUCGGAACGUGCCCAGUCGUGGGGGAUAACGUAGCGAAAGCUACGCUAAUACCGCAUACGAUCUAUGGAUGAAAGCGGGGGAUCGCAAGACCUCGCGCGAUUGGAGCGGCCGAUAUCAGAUUAGGUUGUUGGUGGGGUAAAAGCCUACCAAGCCUGCGAUCUGUAGCUGGUCUGAGAGGACGACCAGCCACACUGGAACUGAGACACGGUCCAGACUCCUACGGGAGGCAGCAGUGGGGAAUUUUGGACAAUGGGCGCAAGCCUGAUCCAGCAAUGCCGCGUGCAGGAUGAAGGCCCUCGGGUUGUAAACUGCUUUUUGUACGGAACGAAAAGGCUUUCUCUAAUACAGGGAGCUCAUGACGGUACCGUAAGAAUAAGCACCGGCUAACUACGUGCCAG